UGUAGGCUGCAACUCGCCUACAUGAAGUUGGAAUCGCUAGUAAUCGCGAAUCAGAAUGUCGCGGUGAAUACGUUCCCGGGUCUUGUACACACCGCCCGUCACACCACGAGAGUUUACAACACCCGAAGUCAGUGGCCUAACCGCAAGGAGGGAGCUGCCUAAGGUGGGGUAGAUGAUUGGGGUGAAGUCGUAACAAGGUAUC
rnacentral:rRNA from 1 species